rnacentral:misc_RNA from 1 species
GUAGGUGAACCUGCGGAAGGAUCAUUACCGAGUUAGGGUCUUUCAGGCCCAACCUCCCACCCCAUGUGUAUCUACCUUUGUUGCUUUGGCGGGCCCGUUGGGGCAACUCACCGGCGGCCACAGGCGGUCGAGCGUCCGUCAAAGACCCACCAAAAACCUGUCAAUCGUGCCGUCUGAGUAUGAAUACAAUCGUUAAAACUUUCAACAACGGAUCUCUUGGUUCUG